rnacentral:rRNA from 1 species
AAUCAACGCUGGCGGCGUGCCUCAGACAUGCAAGUCGAACGCGAAAGUCCCCUUCGGGGGACAAGUAGAGUGGCGCACGGGUGAGUAACACGUAGGUAAUCUACCUUCGGAUGGGGAAUAACAACCGGAAACGGUUGCUAAUACCGCAUAAUGCAGCGGCACCUAAUGGUGACAGUUGUUAAAGCGGGGGAUCGAAAGACCCCGCGUCUGAAGAGGAGCCUGCGGCGGAUUAGCUAGNGGUAAGGUAAUGGCUUACCAAGGCGACGAUCCGUAGCCGGCCUGAGAGGGGCGGUCGGCCACACUGACACUGACAUACGGGUCAGACUCCUACGGGAGGCAGCAGUCGGGAAUUUGGGCAAUGGGCGAAAGCCUGACCCAGCAACGCCGCGUGAAGGAUGAAAUCCC